AGUGAACGCUGGCGGUAGGCCUAACACAUGCAAGUCGAACGGCAGCACAGGAGAGCUUGCUCUCUGGGUGGCGAGUGGCGGACGGGCGAGGAAUACAUCGGAAUCUAAUCUGUCGUGGGGGAUAACGUAGGGAAACUUACGCUAAUACCGCAUACGACCUAAGGGCGAAAGCAGGGGAUCUUCGGACCUUGCGCGAUUGAAUGAGCCGAUGUCGGAUUAGCUAGUUGGCGGGGUAAAGGCCCACCAAGGGGACGAUCCGUAGCUGGUCUGAGAGGAUGAUCAGCCACACUGGAACUGAGACACGGUCCAGACUCCUACGGGAGGCAGCAGUGGGGAAUAUUGGACAAUGGGCGCAAGCCUGAUCCAGCCAUACCGCGUGGGUGAAGAAGGCCUUCGGGUUGUAAAGCCCUUUUGUUGGGAAAGAAAUCCAGCUGGCUAAUACCCGGUUGGGAUGACGGUACCCAAAGAAUAAGCACCGGCUAACUUCGUGCCAGCAGCCGCCGUAA
rnacentral:rRNA from 1 species